UGAACUUUAGGAACACAGUUGGAGGUC
rnacentral:piRNA from 1 species